rnacentral:rRNA from 1 species
ACUCCUACGGGAGGCAGCAGUGGGGAAUAUUGCACAAUGGGCGCAAGCCUGAUGCAGCAACGCCGCGUGAGGGACGACGGCCUUCGGGUUGUAAACCUCUUUUAGUAGGGAAGAAGCGAAAGUGACGGUACCUGCAGAAAAAGCACCGGCUAACUACGUGCCAGCAGCCGCGGUAAUACGUAGGGUGCAAGCGUUAUCCGGAAUUAUUGGGCGUAAAGAGCUCGUAGGCGGUCUGUCGCGUCUGCUGUGAAAACUGGGGGCUCAACCCCCAGCCUGCAGUGGGUACGGGCAGACUAGAGUGCGGUAGGGGAGAUUGGAAUUCCUGGUGUAGCGGUGGAAUGCGCAGAUAUCAGGAGGAACACCGAUGGCGAAGGCAGAUCUCUGGGCCGUAACUGACGCUGAGGAGCGAAAGCAUGGGGAGCGAACAGGAUUAGAUACCCUGGUAGUCCAUGCCGUAAACGUUGGGAACUAGAUGUAGGGACCAUUCCACGGUUUCUGUGUCGCAGCUAACGCAUUAAGUUCCCCGCCUGGGGAGUACGGCCGCAAGGCUAAAACUCAAAGGAAUUGACGGGGGCCCGCACAAGCGGCGGAGCAUGCGGAUUAAUUCGAUGCAACGCGAAGAACCUUACCAAGGCUUGACAUAUAGAGGAAAAGGCUAGAAAUAGUCUCCCCGCAAGGUCUCUAUACAGGUGGUGCAUGGUUGUCGUCAGCUCGUGUCGUGAGAUGUUGGGUUAAGUCCCGCAACGAGCGCAACCCUCGUUCUAUGUUGCCAGCACGUAAUGGUGGGAACUCAUAGGAGACUGCCGGGGUCAACUCGGA